rnacentral:lncRNA from 1 species
CAUUUGCUCCAGGUAUUAAGAUGGAUUUAUAAUGGUGGACUUUGAAUAAAUAUUCUUUUUCAUUGGUAUUUCAGUGCUGAGUCAUCAGGGGAAAUGGUGAGGUUGUAGCUAAUGCCUGGGGCUGAGUCCUGAAGGUGAAAUGUAGUAGGAGCCUUCCUGAGAUUCCAGAGUUUCAUGUCCUGAUACAAAUGAAGAAUCAUAGAUCCCAUACGUUUUUCUUCAGGGCUACCAGAGAGUAAAAGAAAUGGCAUUACUUAUCAGAUACUCAAAGGAAAGAUAAAAGGAUUCAUUUUUCUGGUAUUUUUUUAUGGUUAAAACACCAAUUUUACAAUGUUGUACAACAAACACUAUGAAAGCUCUGUAUCUUAUCAUUGGCAUGAUAUCGUUUAAUUACUCUUUGUGGAAAUUUGCAACUGUCAUACAAUAUUACUUCACACAAGAUUAUCCUUUGUUCAGACAACACCCGAAAUAGACAAUCAACUUUUUUUUUUCCCAGUUAAGCCAGACAGAACAAUGAAAUCUGAAUAAUUACCAUUGUCUUGUCUCUUAAAAAGGGUUUGUUCAAAGGACCAAACAUGGCAGUGGUCUUUGAAAGUUCAACUCUAGGCAGCUCGGAUCUUUCAUAAAAAUUCUAGCAUGCAUGGAGUCCCUGAAGAGCGAUUAGCCUAAGCUGUGUAAUGUGAAACUUCUGUGUGAAUUGUUAACUUCCCUCAGAUGGGACAAACCACAGCAUCUUUUAGGGUACCAAUGGUAUCAAAAUGCAUGAACAUCGGGUGGAACUGUUCUCUCACAUUUGAUAGCAGUCUGGUGUUAUAAUAAAGGAAUUAUAAAAUUAUAAUGCAGGGUACUAGGGAAAUCAUAGCUCAUCCUCACACACAGCUUACUGGACCAUUUCGUAAAGGCUUCUUUCAAUCAAACUCUCCUUCCCAGGUUUGGAUAAUAGAAUCAUAACAAAGAGAUACAGCAGAAAUUAGAAUUUAGGACUCCUCACUAUUAACAACUAAUGGAUUUCCCAUAUCCCAUUAAACACUUUAACCAUUGCUCACUGGCUCAUGGGGACUAUUACUUUCCGUCUAGUCUCAAACAAAAUAUAAAUAAUAAAAAUACUUUAGCAAACUUCUUUUCAGGAUCUGCUCUUAACUCAUAUUAACACUCAUGGAAAUUUAUGCAACUACUGGACUUUGAAAGACAAAUGGAACCUUUAAACACCAUUUUUUUUUUUUAAAAGCAAAUUUCCAGCUCUGAGAUUUGACCAUAAAGAGCCUUCACAAUAUUGUGGUUCAAAUGCUUUCAUUCAUAAUUUCCUAACUUCAUCAAUAUUUUAUAUUAAAACAGAAAAAUUAAUGCCCUAUACUUUUCCAAUGACAUAUUUUAGUUGUUAAAAAUUUUACAAAAUUAAAAAUUAUACAAAAUUAAAAUUUUACAAAAUUAAAAAACUUAGAAGGGAUAUAUGGAUAGCAUCUUCCAGACACUCAGUUUUCACUUAUUUCCUCAUAGUUCACAAAAUGCACAAAAGAGAAAAUUGUUAUUUUAAAAAUAUACAUGACAAUAGAAUUUCUGUUGCUAUAGUGUUUUUAGAAUGAUUCUAAAAGGGAACUUCAAACCCGUCAUAUUUGAUCUUUUUAAUAAAUGAAAUGAAUCCAAAAUUUCAACAGUCUUCUUGCAUCUGUAACUUUCACCACAUACAUAUGUAUUUUUUAAAAUUUAUUUUUUGAAGUAUAGUUGAUUUACAAUGUUGUAUUAAUUUCUGCUGUAUAGCAAAGUGAUUCAGUUAUAUGUACAUACUCUUUUUGCAUUAUUUUCCGUUAUGGUUUAUUACAGGAUAUUGAAUAUAGUUCCCUGUGAUAUACAGUAGACCUUGUUGUUUAUGCAUUCUCUGUGUAAUAGUUAGCAUCUGCUGAUCUCAAAUUCUCAAUCCAUCCAUCCCUCCCCCACUUCCCUCUGGCAACCACAGACUGUUCUCUAUGUUUGUGAGUCUAUUUCUGUUUUGCAGAUAAGUUCAUUUGUGUCACUUUUUUUAGAUUCCACAUGUAAGUGAUAUCAUACGGUAUUUGUCUUUGAUGUAUGUCACUUAGCAUGAUAAUCUUUAGGUCCAUCCGUGUUGCUGCAAAUGGCAUUAUUUUUUUAAUGGCAAAGUAGUAUUCCAUGGAACAUAUAUACCACAUCUUUAUCUAUUUAUCUGUUGAUGGACAUUUAGGUUGUUUCAGUGUGUCUUGGCUAUUGUAAAUAGUGCUGCUAUGAACAUAGGGGUGCAUGUAUCUUUUUGAGUUAUAGUUUUGUCUGGAUAUAUGCCCAGCUGUGGAUGGCUGGAUCAUUUGGCAACUUUAUUUUUAGUUUUUUGGGGAACCUUCAUACUGUUUUCCAUGGUGGCUGCACCAAAUUACAUUCCCACCAACAGUGUAGGAGGGUUCUUUUUUCUCCACACCCUCUCCAGAAAUUGUUAUUUGUAGACUUUUAUUAUUAUUAUUAUUAUUAUUAUUAUUAUCAUCAUCAUCAUCAGUUUUCUGGCCACACUUGUGGCAUGUGGAAGUUCUCAUGGUAGGGGUUGAAUUGAAGCUGCAGAUGAGGCCUAGACCACAGCCACAAUAACACCAUAUCUGAGUUACAUCUGUGACCUACCCUGCAGCUUGCUGCAACACUGGGUCCUUAACCCACUGAGCAACACCAGGGAUCGAACCUGAAUCCUCACAGGUACUAUGCUGAGGUUCUUAAUCUGCUGAGCCAUAAAGGGAACUCCUGUUAUUUGUAGACUUUUUAGUGAUGGCCAUUCUGACUAGUGUGAGAUGGUACCUCACCAUAGUUUUGAUUUGCAUUUCUCUCAUAGAUAGCAAUGGUGAGCAUCUUUUCAUGUGACUGUUGGUCUCUAUGUUUUCUUUGAAGAAAUGUCUGCUUAGGUCUUCUCGCCCAUUUUUUGAUUGGGUUGUUUGUUUAUUUGAUAUUGAGUUGCAUGAGCUGUUUGUACAUUUUGGAAAUGAAGCCCUUGUUGGUUGCAUCAUUUACAAAUAUUUUCUCCCAGUCCAUAGGUUGUCUUUUUGUUUAUGGUUUCCUUUGCUGUGCAAAACUUUCUAAUUUUGAUUAGGUCUCGUUGGUUUAUUUUUGCUUUUAUUUCUAUUGGCUUGGGAGACUGACUUAUUGAAAUAUUUGUACAAUUUAUGUCAGAGAAUGUUUUGCCUAUGUUCUCUUCUAGGAGUUCUGUGGUGUCAUGUGUUAUAUUAAAGUCUUUAAGUCGUUUUGAGUUUAUUCUUGUGUAUUUGUGAGGCUGUGUUCUAACUUCAUUGAUUCACCACAUAUAUUUUAAGAAUGAAUUAACUCUUCACCAUUAAUAGCCUUCCCCUUCCACAUCAUUUAAGCUAAAGCAUACUGAAAAAUUGACAAUUCUAAAAAAAAUGUUUUCCCAAAUUAUAUAUGUUACUGAAGAUACUUUAUUCUAAGAAACAGUAUCAGGUUGUCAGUGAAAAUAGCAAUCUCAUAAAAUGGAAUUUGGUGACAUAGUCACACAUGUUUCAUGGUCAUUAAUUGCACUGAGUAGUUAUUUUCCUACUUAGACUUAAGAGAAAAGUUACAAGAGCCACUAUUAAGUUUCCUUCCUACUUGAAUUGCAGAAGAAUACUCAGAGAAGACAUUGGAGGUCUCUGCAUUGGAGGUCUCUGCAUUUUCAAUAUAAAUGUGGAUUUAUCCUCAGAAAUAGUGUAUAAUUUUGGGCCUCGCUUUUAAACAACAACAACAAAAACAUUAGACUGAAAAGAUGAAAUGUGUGGUCAACCAGGGGCAACAAAUAUACGUUUUAGGUUUCCAGAAAACCAAAACAAAAAAGGAAUUUUCCUUAAAAAAAAAUUAGGCUGAAUGUUUAUAUACAAAGUUUCUACCUAUAUAACCCCUGGUUGUGGCACAGUGUCAUAACUUUCACUGGGUCAAGCAAGCUCCAUUCUUUUCAAAGGUCUUAGAUUCUUAUUUCUUUACUAUCAAAUAACAAAGUGCAACUUGACAAUGUUAUAGGCCUAUCUUCUAUAUUCAACAAUGUUUUUCCCUCAUCAGUCUACUUGGCUACUUCUGGCUUAUGUUGGAAGGAAAGAAGGGAGGGAAGGAAGGAAGGAGGGAAGGAGGGAUUACUAUAGUAUAGAAAUAAAACUUGAAGGCUCUGGGACCAGAACCAAAAAAACAAAACUGAAGACUAUCUUACUGCCUAGAAAAUGUGUCUACUUAUGGAAUAGAAAAGCCCUCACGUUUAUAAAUCAUUCAUUCAUUAAGAGGCUCUUUACUGCUUACUGGGGACUAGAUAGGCAGAUAUUGAAAAGCAUGCAGUCACUGCCUUGGUGAUAGUGACAAACAGGCCAUUAGAACUCAAUGAUUGCCUUGACAGAGCUUCAUAGGCAGUGCUAAAGUUUGAGUAAUAAGAGAGGUUUCCAGCAGAGGCAAUAUCUGAGCUGUGUUUACAAGGAGAAAUAGAUUUAGCUAGGGGAAUAAGUGUAUGGAGAAAAAGACCCUCAAAGCACAGUCCCCUCCCCUCCCCCAGGCAAAACCUCAGGCACAAGAAAAUGUGAUACCUUUGGGGAAGUGCAGGUGGAACCACAAGGCAAGAAGGGUCGAAAAUUACACUCAGUUGGCAAUAGGGGACUAAAUUCUGUAUGGCUUUGAGGAUAUGCUGAGUUGUUUGGACUUCUCCCUAAGGCAGUGGGUAGCCAUUGAAUAAUUUUAAGCAGAAGAAUGAUUUGUUUUAGGAGAGUUAUUUGGGUGUCCUGUGGAGUCCACAGGCAUACUGUUGGGAUGGAGCAGAGAGAGUCAGUGUUCCAGGGGGCCUGAGGGUACCUGUAAUUCAUGUGUGAGAUGAUGAGGGUUUGCCCAAGGGAACAGAGAGAAGUGCACAGUUUUGAGAGGACUGGUGAGGAGAGGAGAGGUAGGAAAUCUAAGUCAACUCCAUUUAUUUGCUUUGGGAGACCUGGCUGACUCUGCUGACGGAGGACGGGCUGGGAAGGCUGGAGCUCACAUGGAGUGUCUGAAGUUGAGACUGCCUGCGGGCACUGUGCUGUCUUGCUGCAGCUUCAAGUGAAUUCAGCUGAGUAUGGCUAAGCGGGGAUAGUUGGCCAGGAGCAAAGCUUUAUUUCUGGUGGUAGAUUCAGAUUAACGGAGGAAACUUGAAUUAUUUGCCUCUGAGAAAGCCAGUGACUCCAGAGGAGACAUUCUCCCUUUAGCAAGGUUGGGCACUAGUCCAUUUGGAACAAAAAAAAAAAAAAAAAAAAAAAAAAAAAAAAAAAAAAAAAAAAGAGCUGGAAGAGGAAAAGACAAAACCUUCAUUUGGAUAUUGUAAAAGGAAAAAAGGUAUUUUAAAACUGACCAAGAAGAGUUAAUACAAGUAUUAAACUCUGUAGCAAAACUCUGUUUUAUGGAUAGUCCUUCAAUUGUAAAGAAAAGAUAUUUAUGUGGAAAGUUACGCAGUUUUUGAGUUUGUGCCUUCACUUACAGAAGUUCACUUUGUAGAUUUUUUUUCCCUCCUUUGUCUUGCUAGGUGGAAUGUUCAGGUUUGUGUUGUUUUCAGAAAUUAUUCAAUAGUCUAAUUACUUGUACAUAAGUCGGGGAUUCCAUUAGUGGCAGCAUCCUUGCACUUAGUUAACUUACUAUCUGCUGAAUGAUGCCAUUUGUUUUGGGGACUUCAAGAAAGGGAUGAUUUUUUAGGACCCAUGAAUCCCUGAAGUUAUAUAAAGACUUGUGUGUAGGUAGCUGGCACCUUUGUCAAACAGCGUGUACUAGUGUUGGUGCUUGGACAGGCAUGGGGUUAGGCUUUUCCAGGUCUCAGAUGUAAAUCCUGCCAUGUUUUCCCCUUUGUCUCUUCUCUCAUUUAUGUUAGCUUGAGCCAGAGAUUUUGGCUCAAUAUUAUCUGACUUUCUGACGCAUUUGGUUCCUGGCUGCAGGCAGAACUGGUCUUUUAACAAAGCCAUACAUUCUUCUCUUCCUGCUUUCAGAUGGGCUAGCCCUGAUGAAGUGGCUGUCUCUUCUAAAGUAGUGAAAAAUUGUGUCUCACUUGGCUCUUGAUUGCAAGUAAUGGAAAACAACUCUGUCUAAUUUAAGGAGAAAGAAUUUUUAGAAGGAUAUAAAGUAGGAGACAAGGAGGGGCCUGGAAGUGGAAGCCCAGGGAGGGUCUCACCUCUGAAAUGCUCUGGUUAGGGCCCUGCCACCAGUCCUACUUCAGCUGCUGAGAGUGUACUGACAAUGAGGCUAUUAUCACUCCCCAUCCCUGCCACUGAACAUUGUACCAUAACCUUCAUCUCUGUGUCAGUCAUUGAUGGUACAAAAGCUGGGCACAACAGCUCAAUAUCUGAGAGGAGGCACAUAUCGGUUGUUGCUGCUGAGGCAGGAGGAGGGCAUCCUUGGUUCCUUUGGCCUUUGGAUCAGGAGGUGGGCCAUGUCUCUCUGCAGGGCUCAUGCAAGGAGGUUUCCUCCCAAAUGGAAGGGGUUUUGUAGCCAGCACAUGACAAAUAUUCAUUAUGAUUUAUUCUUUCGGCGACCCCUAUUUGUUCUUCUGCACAUAUUUACAUUAAAAAAGACCUUCACCCAACAUAAUGUAGCUACUCCACAUACAACUUAAAGUGUGUUUCUUUCUCCCCCUUUUGGGAGAAAGUCAGGCUCCAAGUCCAGAAUCGCUGGGUGAUGUCUCUUCUCUCUAGUUUUACACAGUGCCACUUCAGAAUUCUGCCAUUAAUGGCCUGCAUGGCAUCAUUAAUUAUUACCAACAAGUCUCUUUAAGAAAAAGGGACUUCAUAAAAAUGUGUAAAUAAAACCUUGACUCAACAAGGAAGAAACACUAGGUAGAGGCAUUAGUCUUUGUUUCUGCAACUGGCCAUGAGGCAGUAGCUGGUAUUUAUAACUUUCUUCCUCCACCAAGCAUUUGUUUGCUUUGCACUCUGCUAGCACCUCAGCUGGCUGGGAUUCUUUACCCAGUGGGGUCACUCCAGCUUUCAUUCCUGAGGGAUCUAAGCUUUUGGUGGUUCUGCCUGAAUAGAUUGCCAGAGUCUUUAACUUCUAGCACUGGACUUGGUAAUAUGAGAAGGUGCUCUGUUUAUUCUCCUCCCUGCUUCCAUUGUACAACAGCAGUCCUGUUUUCCCCUGAAAAUUAGAAUCAAUUAAACCAGGCUAAAAUACACUCUCUCUCUCUUUUUGUUUUUCUUCUCUUCAUAGUAACAUAGGAGUAUGAAAUGGCCCAGUGGAAGCCUCACUUCCGUUAAAUACUGAAAGCACUCCUCUGUUUUCUGUUAUCUUCACAUCAGUAGCAGAGCCUGGAGGUGAUGGGAUAGAAAGAAAAAUUUUACCAAGCGUAACUAGUAAUUAGGUAAUUGUGAAUAGCACCUUCUUCCCAGCCCUUGGUUCCUGAACUAACAUGACUUGUGGUUAACGAACCCGACUAGGAACCAUGAGGAUAUGUGUUCGAUCCUUGGCCUUGCUCAUUGGGUUAAGGAUCCGGUGUUGUUGUGAGCUGUGGUGUAGGUUGCAGACACAGCUCGGAUCCUGCACUGCUGUGGCUGUGGCAUAGGCCGGCAGCUGUAGCUCUGAUUC